AAAUGAGCCCUAGUCUGCCCCAUUGAAGGACUGAUUGAGACACUGCAAAGUGCCUGGCUUGGGGGCUGGUACACAGGAGACAUUCAAUAAAUGGUAGUGAAAAUGCACAGGAAAUACAGCCCCGCUGCCUGCAGCCCUGGAUCCAGUCUCUGGUGGGUCUUGGGGCUUCCCCAAGGCAAGAAGGGGCUGAGGAGUAGGAGGGAGGGUGGCCUAUGACUCACUCUCCGUGAGCUCCACGCAUGGGCUGCUGGGCGUGGCGUCCGCACUAAUCCCGGCUAAGCAGCAGGAUGUGUAAGGAUAGUAAUCCCGGGCCUGAGUGUCCUGUCCUGCUGGCUUUAGCCUGACCUUGGCUGGGAUGACCCAUGUCAAGAUGAACGCUCCUGCUCCGCAAGGCCACCCAGAACUGACACCCUCCACACAACCAGGGACAGGGACCAAAGAGAGCCCUUCUCUGGGAGCAGAGGGUGGCAGGCUCAUCUCUGUACCCCUCCCCAUUCCUACAUGUUUGCUCUCUAGCCCUCUCUGAUGGGGAAAUGCUGUAUAAAAACAUCGUCAAGGAAGAAAAGGGGCAUUCAUUCAUUCAUUCAUUCAGCAAAUAUGUAUGAAGCCCAAACUAUGUGCCAGGCACUGUCCCAGAUCCUGAGGACACAGCAGUGACCAAGACAGACUCUGUUUCCAGGGAGCUGACAUUUGGGUGGGUGAAGCAGACGUUAAGUGAACAAACGGGUAAGUUAACAGGUCACUUCAGGAAUUACAAAGACAAGAAAAUGGGCUGAUGGACAGUGACUGGGCAUGGGGGCAUCAUCAGCUAUAGUGGUCGGGGAGGGCUUCUCUGAGGAGAUGUCUGAGCUGAGACCCAAACAAGAAGGAUCGGGCUGUAGGGAAAUCCAGGAGAAGUAUGUCCGGGCAGAGGGAAGAGAUUUUAAUCCUCACAAGUCAUAAGAGUUGGCACUAUUACCCCCAUUUUAUAGAAAAUAAAAAUAAUAACUAAGAGUUAUGGAGCACUUAUUAUGUUCCAGGCCCUCUUCUAAGCACUUAACACGCAAUAAGUCAUUUAAUACUCAAAACAAUCCGUUAUUGUCAUCUCAUUUUAUAGAUGAGGACACCAAGCCACAGAGAUGUUAAGUAUCUUGCCCAAGGCCACACAGCUAGCAGGUAGCAGAGCUGGGAUUUGAACCUAGGGCUGCUCUGCCCUCCAAUGUAUGGGAAAAACCCUAUCCUUGGAGCAUAGGGAGGAAAAACUGGAAUUGUUGAGCAUCUACCAAGCAUGGAGACCUUUGACACACGUCAUCAUUAGGUGGCCCCAUCUCUGAAGGCCACCCCCUGGCCUCCUGCCCUACAAAUCUCUUUCCCCUUCUGAUAACACCAUCCUGACCUCACCUCCAGCUCAGGAGUGGUCAUGUGACCCAGCCUGGUCCAAUCAGCACAGGCCAACCCUCCUAGCCACAGUGAUUGGCAGAGGGAUGGGCAUGUGACACAAAUAGGCCAAUGAGAAGGAAUCCUGGAUCUUUGACUGCAACUAUGGGGAGGAGAAGUUCUCUCUUGAGACAAACUGGGGGGUGGGAAGCCUGGAAGGCCCCAGAGCUUGCCUGACAGUGAAAACCACCCAGGGGACGGCAGAGACAAAAGAUGGGGAGAGAUGGAGCUGUAAUGACACGUCCUGGCGACGUUGUUCGAGGGCCCGUGCCUCUGGGCCGGAAGCCAGGGCUCCUCCUGGACUCUGCGGUUGCAGGAGCCAAUAAAUCAGCCUCCCGUCCCUUCCCCGCUUAAGCCAAUUUGAAUUGGAUUUCUGUCGCUCGUAACUGUCAGAACAUUUUUUCCCUAUCCUGUAACGCUCUCCCUUCUGUUCUCUCCUGCUACCAACAGUAUUAUUCUUGCUACCACCUAAAUUAACGUGACCAUCACUGCUGUCGCCUGUACGGUGACGGCUUCCGUCAACGCUCCUAUUCCCCCUACCGCGAAUAACAGCCUCACUGCCAUUGUUACCACGGUGACCGCCACGGCCGGCCAUCGUUGGUACUGUGAUUGACGCCGUUACUGCUGCUCUCUCUACAUUUUCCAUUUGUAAACCUCUCCCCAGCUUCAAAGCACUUUCACAGUCCUGUCUCGUUCCUUUAUAAAGCUUGCCACAACCCCGUGAUAAAAUAAAAUAAUAACAAGGUGGGUGUUGUUAGUUCCAUCCUAGCGGCGAGGACACAGGUUCUCAAAGCUGGUGGAAACUGCUUAUGGCCAUGGCCAGUGCUGCUCUGACUCAGCUAGUCAUGGUUUAUUGAAGAGAUGUCACUGAACGGUUGUGUGUGAGGACAGGCUCUGCUGGAUGCUGGGAUGCAGCAGUGAACACAGACAGGUCCCUGCCCUCACUGAGCUGCCAGUUGCAUGGGCUCCGGAACAUUCCAAGGAGCCUCCCUCACAGGCUCCACAGGAAGCCUGGCCAGCACCAUUCUCUCCUCUUCAGGGUUCUGGGACCAUAAUGGAGGAGCCCGGUUUGUGAGCAGAAUUGAAGCACUGCUGUGGAUUUUACCUCUUCUCUGAGCUGCCCUGGGCAACAGACUCAGCCUUUGUGCCUUUCAACCACACAGUGAAUUCCUUAUUGGGGAGGGUCCUGACUUGACUUUCCUGUCUCUGCCACGGUGACUAGCACGGGGCUGGGCACAGAGCAGCCACUGCAUUGAUGCUCAUUAAUGGGUUGCCGCUCAGAGGCAGAACUAGGCCUCCUUCUUUCCAUCCAUCCAUUUCCUUCCUUUCUUCUUUCCAUCCAUUCUCCAUUCUUCUAGUCAUCAAUCCAUCCGUCUAUCCAUCCACCUACCCACCCGCCCGUCAGUCCUUCCAUCCAUCCUUUUUCCUGCCUGGAGAUAGGGAACCGGCCCGGGUAGGGAAGUCGCUAACCCUGAGGUGGCUCAGCCAGUCUGCAGCAGAGCCAGGACUGGAUUCAGGGUCUCCUGACCUGGUGCCCUGCCCCUCACUGGCCUCCCCAGCCUGCCCUGUUCUCCCUGGACAAUGAAGGGCUACUCCAGCCUCUAGAUCGUGCUCUUCCACAGCCUCCUUCCCCAGAAGCUUAACACGUUCCCACUCUUAGCCAGUUGCAAGGAGCUCGUGAGAUUGAACAAACGAAAAGCUUGAUUCUUUCAGCCUCUUUUCAAGGAACUCUGAAUUCCUAGGGUACUUCUUAUCAUCCCUGACACCCUAGUUCAAUCCCAGGCUUCCUGUUAGAACUCUUCCUUCCAGUUUUCUGAAUGGCUCAGUCCUCUCCCCUUGCUAGCCAGGGGUUGAAACUCCAUGGUGUCCUAGGGCCAGGCAGGAAGUGCCAAGGACCAAAGCAGCCUGGAUAUGCAGCUCCAGGAAGGAGUGCUGGGGCCACCACCAGCUUCAGGAGGGAACAGAGGUGGGCACAGGGUGGCCUAAUUUUCCAACUUCUCAAUAGAAACAACAACAACAAAAAUCUAAGGUUUUGUGUGUGUGUGUGUGUGUGAAUUUUCCCAGUACAUUAAUGUUGGCAACUAAUUAAAAUAUGUAAAUGCAGUUCAGUUCAAAUAACACACAUUUACCAGCUAGAUCUGCCCGUCCCCUCUUCACAACCUCUUCUUGUCUAUGGUCCCCUGCCCCACACACCUCAAACUGCCACAAGGGAGCUCAGCUCCGAGAAGUCCUGUUGCUCUGAACACAAGCAACAUAAUUAUAACAGUAGCAGCUACCAAAAACUGAACAUCCAAAUACUCAAAUCACCCCUAUGAGAUAUUGUUACAAAUUUCACAAAUGAAGAAAACAGGAGGCUUGGAGAGGUUAGGGAACUUGCCCCAGAUCACACAGCUAAGUGACAAUCUGGAUUUGAGCCCAGGCCUGUGUGACUCCAAAGACUGUGAUCUAGCCCAGGGGUGGUGACACUGUCCCUCCCCUGGGAGGCAUUUUGGAAAUACGGGGGAAGGCAGGUGUUUCUGGUUGUCACGGUGAUGGGGAGGGGGGUGGGGUGACACUGGCAUUCCGUGAGUGGGAACCGGGGAAAAGCGAUGUCCUUGAUGCACAAACAGUCCUGCGUCGUGAAGUCUUGUCCUGCCCCCCUGCCAGGAGUGCCCGGUUUUCUCUCUUCCCCCACAACGGCAGCCAUUACUGAGUGCCAGCUGUAUGCCAGGGACUUUAGAUCUAGCAGCCCAAUGAGUCUGGUCUUCACCCCGUGCGGCUCCUCUAAGGGCCUGAAUAAAGAGAAUAAUGGACGCACGCCAAGGCCUGUUACCCGCAAGACGACACCUCCAGACCAGGGCUCGGCCAACUUUUCUGCAAAGGGUGCGAUCAUAGGAUGACGGAAAAAAUCCGAGAAAAAUUUGGUGUGCAAGGAAAAAGCUCGAGUUCCUUCCUUCAUUCUUACUGAUUUGUACUGCUGGGGACACGGUGGCAAACGCGACAGUCAAGAUUCCUGCCCCAGUGGAGCUCACUUUCCAGUGGGGAGACAGACAGUAAACAAGUAAACAAGA